GUCUGAUCUCUUUUCUAACCAUACCUGGAAGAUGGAAUGCUGGACCCAGGAGGAAAGGCCAUGUGAAGAUAAAGAAAAGGCUGCCAUCUCCAGGUCAGGAAGAGAGGUCUCACCAGAAACCAACUUGGACUUCUAGCAUCUAGAACUUGAGAAACUGGGAUGCUACUCCAGAAGAAGACAAAUCAGUGCCUCUGUACAAAGGGAUCUUUGUGCUGCCAAAAGAGUAGAAAAGUUUAUCCCAGAACCAAAAUAUUUCAGAAUUGUGGAAAAUCAAGUUUUGGAAACCUACUCAAAAGAAGAAGAAAUAUUGCUAUCACAGAAUCCCUGAAUUAGUAUACACCUAGCCGCUGUAACAAAGAUGCUCAAAAACAUAAAUGACACUGUAAAAGAAGUUUAUUUCUUGUUCACAUAACUGUCCAAGGCUGGUGUUCCUGGGCAACUUCCAGUUCUCUUCCAUGCAAUGAUUCAAGGACACAGAGUUCUUCCAUCCUGUGACUCUACCAUCCCCUA
rnacentral:lncRNA from 1 species